GGUGUCAUAGUAUAGUGGUCAGUACAUCACGUUGUGGAGUGAUUAAUCACCCACGACCACGGGCACUUCCGUGAAGACCCCGGUUCGAUUCCGGGUGACGCCA
rnacentral:tRNA from 1 species